rnacentral:rRNA from 1 species
GACGAACGCUGGCGGCGUGCUUAACACAUGCAAGUCGAACGGAAAGGCCCUGCUUUUGUGGGGUGCUCGAGUGGCGAACGGGUGAGUAACACGUGAGCAACCUGCCCUUGACUUUGGGAUAACUUCAGGAAACUGGGGCUAAUACCGGAUAGGAGCUCCUGCUGCAUGGUGGGGGUUAGAAAGUUUCGGCGGUUGGGGAUGGACUCGCGGCUUAUCAGCUUGUUGGUGGGGUAGUGGCUUACCAAGGCUUUGACGGGUAGCCGGCCUGAGAGGGUGACCGGCCACAUUGGGACUGAGAUACGGCCCAGACUCCUACGGGAGGCAGCAGUGGGGAAUAUUGCACAAUGGGCGGAAGCCUGAUGCAGCAACGCCGCGUGCGGGAUGACGGCCUUCGGGUUGUAAACCGCUUUCGCCUGUGACGAAGCGUGAGUGACGGUAAUGGGUAAAGAAGCACCGGCUAACUACGUG